GGGGGGGGGGGGGGUUUGGGGGGUAUAAUGCUUCUUUGGAACACCAACUUUGUUGCCAUCACUUGCAAGCAUCAAUCUUUGCAAGAACUUCAUGUGAUGAUUAAGGUUAAUGUUGAGGAGUUUGGGGAGUCCGUCGGUACAACAUAACUUCCACGAAACAAAUGGUGCAGCUGACACCUUGUUUGGAUUUGGUUCCUCGAUAACAUCGACCAGCUCUUCACCCAUUUUGUUAUCUCCUCUCGACAUCGUUGCAGCCCAAUUGAAACAGGACCGUGAAGGAGCGUUUACUAAUAGACUUAUCUCUAGGUCAUCUUAUAAUAAGUUAGUUUCUGUAGGGAACCGAUCUGUGUUGUCAAGUGUUGGUACUAGUAUGUUUGUUUGUCAAGUUUCUACUGUAAUUUCGAACUCUAGUUCUAAUACUACUUUAGUUUCGAACUCUAGUUCUAGUACUACUUUGGUUUCUGCUAGGAACUGCAGUACACUUACUGUUGCUUGUAACUCUUUAACUCUAUAGUAUUAUAUAUAUAAAUAUUUCGUUCUAGCAAAAAGAAAUUGUGAACUUGUCAAAUGUCACAAGUUAACCAUCGUUAGUUUUUUUUUUGCUUGAAACAUUUGUGAGAGUGCAUAACACAUAUUUUAACUUCAAGCUAUGUGAAUCCUGUACUUACGUAUAUUUGUUGAUGUUUGUCAUUUUUUUAAUUUCCGAAGUGAUUGGACCAUGAUAACAUUUAUUACUGAAUAAAAAAUUGAGUCCAACAAGAAAACUUGGUCCAAAAUGAUCUAAGAGUGAAAAGAACAAAAGGGAAAGUAAAAGAAAAAAAAGCAAAACUCGAAAACGAAAGUAAGCGAAAGAGAAAGAAAUUCAAUCGCUGCUUCUCCAUGUUCGUCGUUUGGACCAGAUCGAUGGUGUCAAUUCACUGAUGAAGAAGCACAAGACCAGCUGAGUUACUAAAUCGAUUCAUUCUUCCACCAUAGAUAUCUAGCAUGAAGAAUUUGGGCGGAUUGCUCAAUGGGCAUUCAAAAACUCUCACAAAUGCCAAGUCAAUCCAAUCUCCUUGAAGACGUCUUCAACUCCUCAGCUACAGAUCCAGAAAAAAAAAAGAAAUCCUCAGCUAAAAUAACUCUACAGUCAUCUACCAAUCAGGUAUAAUUGAAGAGAAAACCCUUUCAGUGUAGCAACAACAAACGAUUCCCUAAUUGAGUAUUUACGGGUUACAUUAGGGUGCAUUACUUUGAUGUUUUUCACUUUAAUUAUAUAAUAAUUUUUAAUUUUUUACUGUUAGUUGUGUA